rnacentral:rRNA from 1 species
GACCCAGGAAUACUUGGGCGUGCCUCCACCCACGCCGGCGUCGGCGGGCGUAUUUCGCCUCACAGUAGGUCGCCGCGACCCGUUGCUUUUGGGGACGUCGAAGGCCCGGACGGAUUGGUACCCUACCGGCUGGGGAUGCGGCUUCGGCUUCUCCUCUUGUCCGGUGGGCGAAACCGCCGGUGUCCUGGCUGCCCUGCGACGGUCGUAGAGACGAGCCCCUCCCAUUCGUGGGGGGCGGCUCUCGCGGCGUGCAAAAGGUCGGUGAUCCACCCGACCCGUCUUGAAACACGGACCAAGGAGUCUAACAUGUGUGCGAGUCAGUGGGCGCACUAAACCCAGAGGCGUAAUGAAAGUGACACGGGUUCGGCUGUCGCCUCGUGUGGCAGUCGGACUCAGGGCCGAUCCCUCACCGGUUGCCCUCGCCUCUCUCCCGCGUCUCGGUAAGCCGGGUGAGCUAUUUUCCCCGGCCGCUGCUGCGGGGCGCGAGGGGUGGCGGGGUGCGAUGGUGUCCGUAAAAAAGAGCCUGCUGUUGCAGGGGGGCGCAGGCCCGGGACUUGCCAGGACGCCGCGAGACUGUCACUUUGCUGUGAGGCUCCAGGGCCGAUCAGCGGGUCAUGCGUGCAGUCGGCAAGUACCAUGAGCAGACAUGUUGGGACCCGAAAGAUGGUGAACUAUGCCUGGCCAGGAUGAAGCCAGAGGAAACUCUGGUGGAGGUCCGU